rnacentral:miRNA from 1 species
CGUUUCACGCAAUAUUCCAA